rnacentral:lncRNA from 1 species
UGGGAUCCACUGCGGUGACCGACGAUGUAGAGGAGGAUCUAAAGCUCGCGAUCAAGGACCACGAGGCCAGGUUUCUGCUUCUUUUUUGCCUAUGCUUUUGUGGAUAUCAUGUAGAGAAUACAAAGACUGUGUUCUCAUCAUCAGAACUGACUAAUCAGUCGACGAAAAAUUAAAAACUGAAAUGGAGUCGACCCUGAAGGUUCAUUUUCAACUCUCAAAUUUCUACUUUUUUAAUUUCUAUCCGUUUGUUUUUCUUUAAGACUUUUAACGAUUUGAUUAUUUUUCAGUACAGGAAUGCUAGAUUUUCGAAAUUUUGCCCCUACCAAAAAGAAAUUGAGAAAAUUUUAGAUGGUAAAGAUUGCUUAGUGAUUACAUCCAUUGGCAAUGGUAAGUUGUUGUGGUAAGCUUCAAUUUAUUACUGUGUUUUGCAUUAUAAUCUUAAUACAGUUAUUUGUUUGAAGAAAAUACACUUCUAAUCAACCAUUUUCUUUUAGACGAAGGUAGUUGCGGUCAAGGAAAAGAUCUAGCUACCUUCUAUUUGGCCGCGAAAAGCCUGUGCAGAAGGUCCUAGGUAGAUGAAAACGUACGGAUGUAUAUCUAUCUAUCGAUUAAUUUUGCACAUCUAUUACAUAUUUAUGUAGGAUCUUGGCGUUUUGAUUGGAAAAUGACUAAUUUUUUUAUGUGUGUUUAUGUUACUGGUGCAAUUGUAGUUGUGUGAGAUUUUGACUAAAGAUCUAUUUAAGGUUGAUCCAACUUAAUUGCUACUGUUUCGUUGCAAUGUGAAAAUAGAAUCGCUAUUCUGGAAUCGUUUAUAGCUUUUUACUGCUGAUAAUUUAUUUAUUUUACCCUUUUUAUUUUGAAUUCUUACCAUACUUCUGACACUUGAACCUUUGACAUUCACAAAAAUGCAGUAAGGGGUACAAAUAAACAAGGGCAUAUAUUCAAAUGUGAAAUUAUGAAUUACACUCUAAUUCUUGCAUUUUUCGAGGAAUCAAGUAGAGACAUCAACAAUUCUAGAUACCUAUCUAAUUUAAAAUCAGAGUUAUGAGUUCACUCUCCUUUCCAUGGAUACUUGUACAUCUUUCCACUUGAAUUAUCUUACUGAUUUUGCUGAUGUUUUCCUAUGGGAGGGGGAAGAAAAUUUAUGCUGGCAUGCUUAUUCUUCGUUACAUCUCUAUUGUCAAGUAGGCUGUGGAUUAAUUAGAUGCUUGGAAGUGGAACUAUGAUAAUUUAAAGGGAAAAUUUAGAAAAGUUAUCUUCUUUAGAAAUUGUGGAUAAUGUUGCAAUAAUUUCAUUAGUCAAUUGUGGGCAUAUACAUCAAUUAGAGUAAAUCAAAGAAUGAUGAAAUCAUAGUAGUCCAGUGAUGUGAGCACAUGAUCUCUUAUGAUCACUUUCCCUUGUAUAAUUGAAAUUUCUACAAUUGUGGGGAUACACUUCUGUUGGAUUGAACUUUUGUAUUUUUCAUUUUUUAAGUCUGAUAGUUAUAUUCUAUUUUUGCUUUAGCAGUUGUAUUCGAUCUAAGUUUGAAGUUUAAUUUUAUUCACUUCUCACAUCUAAUGCAGGUCCUGUAGCAGAAUAUGCAUUCCAUUGACAAGCAAGGAUUAUGGGACCUUCAAAAGUCCUUAUUCUGGAGGUGUAUUUUUUGGUUUCCAUUCAUUUUCCUCUCG